rnacentral:rRNA from 1 species
CCCUUAGAUGUCCUGGGCCGCACGCGUGCUACACUGACGCCUACAGCGAGUACUUCCCAGCCCCGAGAGGUGGCUGGUAAUCAGCAAUAGGCGUCGUGAUGGGGAUAGAUCUUUGGAAUUAUGGAUCUUGAACGAGGAAUGCCUAGUAAGCGCAGGUCAUUAGCCUGCGUUGAUUAAGUCCCUGCCCUUUGUACACACCGCCCGUCGCACCUACCGAUUGAAUGGUCCGGUGAACCCUCCGGAUCGGCUCGCGCCAACGCAAGUUGAGCAAAGGCCGAGAAGUUGGGUAAACCUUACCAUUUAGAGGAAGGUGAANUCGUAACA